GGUUGUGUAGUGUAGUGGUCAUCACAGUCGGUUUUGAAGCGACUCGAGCACUCUUCCGACUAACCCAGGUUCGAACCCUGGCACGACCU